rnacentral:lncRNA from 1 species
UCAUCACAACACAUUGAAAAAUCACGAUCUCAUUGUAGUACAAUAGUGUAUCUUCCCUUCCAAAUGUUUUAUCCAAAGCUGCAUGUACAUUAGUACAUACAUACUCCUACUACUAUGCAACCUUCGGUUUGGGUCCCAAAUUGUCAUGAUUUUCUUUUGAAAAGAUUUUACAUAUGAACAUGUGUAGUAAGAAAUUUGGAGUCAGUCAAGUCCAUCUUACAGCUGCAAUGAUAAGAGGAACGCAUGAUGCCAAGUCGCAUGUGAAAACGUUACAGACCAAGAAAAUUCAGUGGCAGAGGCUUCAACUCACCUGUCACCACAUGUCAUUUGUCAUUGACCAGUCCAUACGAGAUCGAUCCCAUGAAUUGAAAAUUCGCGGGCAUCUUUGUAACACUAACGUGCACACGAAGAAUGCCAGUCCAGCAAUCAGAGAUGCACAACGGGGACAGGUUCAUUGCACAGUAGCUGAGUUGAAACUGCUGCGUUUAGUUGGCAUAUGUUUGGUUUUUGCCACACUUUAGCUUGCCAUACUUUAUUGUCACUAUGGCCCAUUUAUUAUAGAGUCAAUUUUUUUGCCAACUUUUACCAAAGUUUGACGUUCGUUAUUUCAGCCACACUUUGUGGCUUGCCACACUUUGGUUUGGCAAAAUUAGGGGCUGUUUGGUUCCCAGCCUAAGAUUGUCACACCUAACCUUAGUCAUGUCACAAUACUUUAGGCAUGUGUUUGGUUCAUUGACACACUUGUGGCUUGCCACACUUUUAUAGGUAUAUGGUCCACAUGUCAUAGACACAAUCUUUUGCCAAACCUUACCACACUUGUGGUGUUCAUUUUGUUAGCCACACGUUUUGUGGCAGCCACAC